rnacentral:lncRNA from 1 species
UUGAUUUCUCUGGAACGCAGUAGCAGCACAGGAAAUCGAUCACAGCAGCAACAGAAAUCUACUCGUGAAUGUGACAUCAAGAUCUGGAAAUGGCGAGUGUCAAGAAAUCACGGCAACGGAUGUGCAGAUCGGAGAUGCAGACGUAAAUGUCAAGACUGGAAAUCGCGAAUGUGUUGGAAAAAGAAGUCGCGAGAAUGUCAAGACGACGGAAAUCGCAAGCAGUUGUUGCAAUAAAUAAAGUCUUUUCCGGGAAGAAAAAAAUUACAAUGGAGUAAUAGCAGCUGAUACCAUCUUAUAUAUCACUCAACAAGUAAUUAGGGAAAAAACAAUCACAUCUCUUAAGUUGUAACUUAUAUAAUUAACUACUAACUAUAUUAUAAUUAAGAAUAAAUAAUUUCAAUUUUCAUUGUGAAAUUAUUUGUAUUUAAUGGAGU